UGAUAUUUUUGCAACUUAAUUAAUUACAUGGGGAAUCCAAAGCCAUGAUAGGCAGAUGGGCUAUCAGGAUGAGAGAAGGGGUUUGGAUCCAUCAAGUCAUGAGCAGAAAUAGGAUGAUUGGUGGCAUUAGUGGUAACGUCAUGAAUGCUAGGCCUCUUCUUAUCCUUCUUUAUUGAGUUGAUGCGAAGAAAAUACUUCUGGGCAUGGCUGGCCACUUGAGUUGGUGUUCUUGAUACUACUGCAUUUCUUGAGAUGCUUCUCCAGUCUCCUUUCCCAUAUCUCUGUAGUCCUAUUAGAAACAACCUGUGCUCUUCUUCUGUCCAGGGGAUCCCCUUCCUCCUCUCGGUCGUCUCCUUCCCCUUCCCUGUAGACCCAAACCACACCUGACUCGUCCCUGACUCCGUAGCAGAACCCCAACCACC
rnacentral:misc_RNA from 1 species